rnacentral:rRNA from 1 species
UACGUAGGGUGCGAGCGUUGUCCGGAAUUAUUGGGCGUAAAGAGCUCGUAGGCGGUUUGUCGCGUCGACUGUGAAAACCCGAGGCUUAACCUCGGGCCUGCAGUCGAUACGGGCAGACUAGAGUUCGGUAGGGGAGACUGGAAUUCCUGGUGUAGCGGUGAAAUGCGCAGAUAUCAGGAAGAACACCCGUGGCGAAGGCGGCUCUCUGGUACGGAACUGACGCUGAGACGCGAAAGCGUGGGGAGCGAACAGG